rnacentral:rRNA from 1 species
UACAGAGGGGGCAAGCGUUAUUCGGAAUUAUUGGGCGUAAAGGGUGCGAUAGGCGGCGCGGUAAGUCGGGUGUGAAAUCUCGGGAGCUUAACUCCGAACUGCAUUCGAUACUGCCGUGCUUGAGGACUGGAGAGGAGACUGGAAUUUACGGUGUAGCGGUGAAAUGCGUAGAUAUCGGGAGGAACACCGGUGGCGAAGGCGGUCUCUGGGCCUGUGACUGACGCUGGAGGAGCGAAGCGUGGGGAGCAAACAGG